CUUGCACCCCUGGUCUUACUUUUUUUCCCCUUCGUCUCCCCAUGCUCCCAUCAAAACCCCCAAAUCACCACUCCCCUUCUCCAUCCGUCAAAACCUCCACCAUCUCCACCCACCAUCACCCUUCUCCCAUACCCGACCUGUAACCAGCACCAUUCAACACCGCCUACGGUGGUGAUUCACGAUGGGGAUGCGGCGGCUCGGGGUAUUACAGAAAGGUAGACAAAGCGGACGGAGAACUGGUUAGGGUUUCGACAAUCCGUUCACCAGUGUCGUCCCUCUAUAGCAACAGUGGGUUAUUGGGUAACAACGAAGAUGGUUUUGUAUCUCAGAACCGAAUAGACGACGCCGGCGAGGUCCAGCAAAUCCUCCGAAAAAUUAUAUGGACAGAGGAUUUCUUAUGAGCUUCAUCUUCAUGUUCUUGAGCUGGAUUUGAAAUCGAAAGGAGAAUCGAAGAUAUAUAAGUUUGAAGGUGAAUUAGAUCGCGAUUUGUGAUAAGUCCGAUUGACAAACAAAUUCCAAAGAUAAAUGAAUUGAUCCACUUUAGUCUCUAAAGUAAGUUUUAGCAUUGUAUUCAUUGUUUAAGCUUUAACUAGCAAGAGUUCACUGGCCUGUUGGGUUUUUUUAUUUGUAUGGUUAACACUUUACUUUAAAUUUGGUAUGUAGCCAUAUAUUUAUUUGGAAAUACGUCAUUCUGUUAUCUGGAUUGUCUUUUGCGUGGUGACGUUUGUUUCUCCUGUUAGCAAUCAUGCUUGAAAUGUAGGCGUUGUGCCUCUUUUGCUGUUGAUGUGCCAAACAAGUUGCCAUAUAAGUUCAGAGAAUAUGCGCCAAACAAGUUGCGAGGUGGACUCAACUUUCCUUAUGGUGGAACCGGGGUGUUCGACACUAGCAACUUGCAGCCAAACAUGACCACUCAGAUUGGGUUUCUUCAAGGGCUAAUUAAAGAGAGGGUCUACAUUACUCGAGAUUUAAAAGCAUCUUUGACUCUUGUCGCGGUCUCGGGUGAUGACUAUGGGACUUACACUUCUACAAGUGGCUCUGAGCAGGGCCUGCCUCCAUUCAUUUCAAGAGUUGUCAAUCAAAUGGCACAGGUUUUGAAGCUAAUUCAUGAUACGGGUGUACGACGAGUGUUGGUGACUAGCCUACAGCCGGUAGGAUGCCUCCCCAGAGAAACCGUCUUUUCAUCAUACAAGCAAUGCAAUGAAAGUCGGAAUACAGCAGCCAGUUUCCAUAACCAAUUGUUGCAGCAGGCCGUGACGACGCUGAACAAUAACACCAAAGAUUCUAGCUUUCUCAUUCUUGAUAUCUUUAGUGCGUUCAACACGGCGUUAAAGAGUAAAAAAGAUUUUAGAGGUAUAAUACUUGAUCAUUCUCAUUUGUGUCUGAGUUCGACUUUCAGAUGUAGCAAUGCACAAACGGUCCUGGCAAGCCUGGCCUAUGUUAUGUCCAAAAAGCCCAAUCCCUUGAGCUGCAUAUGUAUACCUCUUUUUUUAGUGGCCUAUACAUGUAAACUUGUAUAUUUUUUGUCCAAUUGAAGGGGUAAGGUCCCAAAAACCUCAUAAAAAGGAUUUGAGACCAUACCACAAUCCGGCCUUUCAACCUUUUAACCUUGCGCGGCCGCGCAUUGGUCUUACAAAAGGGAGAAAGUAAUCAACAAUUUAUAGUCGCGCGCCCAAAGGAAAGCAUAAAAUCCUUGCGCCUUCUUCCAUAAGCAAAGGAUUAAAAUCCUGAAGAUCAAUACUUCCGCCCAAAUAUCCAAACUUGGAUAUUAUUUUGCCCAAACUUGGGAUUUAUACAUCUGUGUCCACACAGUAAGGUGUCACACUAGAUUACAGCAGUAAUCUUCUAGAAAGAAUGUGAUCGUGCACCACCCAGACGGUUAUAACUGUCUGGACACGUGUCAUUACCACAGGCAUCCCUAAAACCACAACAAAGGCAUGCAAUUGGGGAAUGAUCUCCAAUUAAUCACUUUCCACGUGGCAACCCCCCAGCCAUAGAUCAAACCACGAUCCGUGUGCAUUCACAUCGGAUCGAGACAACUUAACGUAAAAUCAAAGAACUUAACGGAGGAAAAUGUAACCGCUACGGCGUUAGCAUCUUCCGUCAUCUUUUCAAUAACAGGUUUUCCCUCCCAAUCUCCCGGUUAUAAAUACGAGAACUGUUCAGGUAUAAACUCAGAUCACAUUCACUUCUCAAAUACUAUCUCUUCUCCAUUACCAAUACUUAUUCUCACACCGGAGUCGGGUCAAGGAGAGAACCCCCUUCUCCCCUUGGCGAGGCUAACGGUGCUCUUUUUUGCAGAACCACCGGAGAAGAAGUUCGGUAGCAACUGAAUCAACCGAGAGAGAGCUAACCCUUUUAUGCGGAUUCAAACCCCCUGGAUAUUUCGGUUCCGACCAUUUAUCUAGUGUUUCUUCACCAAUAUAUAAUUUUUUUAAGAAGAAAAGGCAUAAAAAGGGACCAGGCCGGCGGCAGGCCCUCUUGGAAUGACCAGGCUGUAACUAGCCCAAGUGGAGGAAUGGGCUAAAACAAGUAAAUCGUAUGGGUUUUCAUUAUUCGAAGCGGAAUUCGGAUUUCUUUGCAUAUGGUGGAACCGGGGUGUUUGACAUGGCGAAGUGGACCGUUCGACAAAGAAGCGACAUGGAAAUGCACCCAACAACCCCAGCCUAGAAAGGGAACACUGGAAACAUGGAAACGACAUCAAAGAGGCAACUGGAAUUCCCUGACUCAGAUCCACCAUCAAAAAGGCCUGGCAAAGGUGGUUUGGCAGAUAAACUCAAUUCACAGAAGAUGUCCCUUUUGGCCACCAAAAAGAAGAAGCAAAUGUGGGAUAGCGGUCCGGAAUUAGAAUCGCUAAAAGCAUUCCUUUUGUACAAAUCAUAGUUCAACCAGCAACACAUCUAUGGCUGCCUACUAACUACACCACGGAUAUAAGUAGCACCAUGAAUGCCUUUAGGACAACUUGUAACUAAUGGUAAACUACAUGCUAAUGACACCAGUGUGUAUAAACCGCAACAUGAUUAAUUAAUGGCCAGUUGUUAUUAACAUCA